UACGGGGGGGCAAGCGUUGUUCGGAAUUACUGGGCGUAAAGGGCUCGUAGGCGGCCAACUAAGUCAUACGUGAAAUCCCUCGGCUUAACCGGGGAACUGCGUCUGAUACUGGAUGGCUUGAGUUCGGGAGAGGGAUGCGGAAUUCCAGGUGUAGCGGUGAAAUGCGUAGAUAUCUGGAGGAACACCGGUGGCGAAGGCGGCAUCCUGGACCGACACUGACGCUGAGGAGCGAAAGCCAGGGGAGCAAACGGG
rnacentral:rRNA from 1 species